rnacentral:miRNA from 1 species
UGUGUAGAGGGGGAUGAGGAUGCC